AACGCGAAGAACCUUACCAAGGCUUGACAUCCCUUGCAUACCAUAGAGAUAUGGGAAGUCCUUCGGGACAAGGUGACAGGUGGUGCAUGGUUGUCGUCAGCUCGUGUCGUGAGAUGUUGGGUUAAGUCCCGCAACGAGCGCAACCCCUAUUGUUAGUUGCCAUCAUUAAGUUGGGCACUCUAGCGAGACUGCCGGUGACAAAUCGGAGGAAGGUGGGGAUGACGUCAAAUCAUCAUGCCCCUUAUGUCUUGGGCUACACACGUACUACAAUGGACGUAACAGCGGGAAGCGAAGGAGCAAUCCGGAGCAAAUCCUAUAAAAACGUCCUCAGUUCGGAUUGAGGGCUGAAACUCGCCCUCAUGAAGUCGGAAUUGCUAGUAAUGGCAGGUCAGCAUACUGCCGUGAAUACGUUCCCGGGUCUUGUACACACCG
rnacentral:rRNA from 1 species